UUUUAUUAUAAAUGAUAUGGCAAAACGACGUUUGCCCGGGCAGCUAGUAAUAUAUAACAUUGUUUUCUUUAAACAAUGAUGCAGCAUUUAUUUUAAUAUAUUCUACUUCCUAAAAGCACUAAUAAAAUGGUACAUUGUUUUUAAUUCGUUAAAGCAAUAUUAUUUACCAAAAUUCA